GUCCACGCCGUAAACGAUGAAUGCUAGCCGUCGGGGAGCUUGCUCUCCGGUGGCGCAGCUAACGCAAUAAGCAUUCCGCCUGGGGAGUACGGUCGCAAGAUUAAAACUCAAAGGAAUUGACGGGGGCCCGCACAAGCGGUGGAGCAUGUGGUUCAAUUCGAAGCAACGCGAAGAACCUUACCAGCCCUUGACAUCCCGGUCGCGGAGUCCAGAGACGGAUUCUUUCAGUUCGGCUGGACCGGUGACAGGUGCUGCAUGGCUGUCGU
rnacentral:rRNA from 1 species